UGACGGGUAGUAUAAUAAAAAUACCUUUUGUUUACACCAAAAAACUGGUGUUCACCCCCGCCUAUAA
rnacentral:tRNA from 1 species